CCUAAUCGACUAUCUCCUUCUAUAAAUAGCGACUCCACUCUCACAUGUACAUCAUCGGCUGAGAGAGAGUAUAGCAGCGGUACAAGUUGAGGAACCUUAAAUUCAAGGAUUCACAUAGAUGCUGGAUAGUAGAGAAAGUAGUAAGCCUUGAAGCUCGGAGUUGGCUCGCAUCACCAUUUCUCUUCUUCUUUUUUUUCUUCCCCGUGAGCUCGGAACCGGAAUUCUUCUCCCUCCAAGCAACAACCAGGGUGCUGAAGAACUAGGCUCUGAAAAACCAGCUAGUAUACAAAUGCAUACAAGCAUUAGCAGAAUCAAGGUAAUCUCUCCAAUAAUAAAUGUAUACUAUCCGGCUGACAAAUGACUUUCAUGACUUUUGUGUAGAUAGGCUUGACAUGUUAAAAAAUGAUUUAAUUCUGUUAAUGUUGAACUUCAUGACAUUUAAUCUAUAAAUUGGUCUUUGCUUGAUGACAUCAACUGGAGCUCAUUUAUAAAGAAGCCUGUAAGUUGUUCAAAAAAUCAAAACAAAAGCAAGUUUACUAUCAAGCCUCACCUUCCAUGCAUUUUCAAGACUUUGGUCCACGUUCUCUGCAUCAACUUUAAGAGCUAGUGAACUUAGUAACUCUGCUUGUUGCAUCAAUGCGUUUAUCUUUGGGUCAUCCUUUUUAAGGAAUGUUCCUUGAAUCUUGUCAUUUUGGACUGCAAAAUCAUGAUAAUCCAAGAGUUGCAUUAGAAUGAUAGGUGACCAAUGUUAUUUCAGGCUUAAUAUAUAAGAGGUGUUUUGGCUUAUUUUCUAUUUUCAUUUUCAGGUGAAAUGUUUUCACUUAUAAUUUAAAGCUAUCACCUCGUUUUCAUUUAGUUUCCUCUUUUCCUUAUGUUGAUUUUAGUUUCACCAUUUCCUUCACAAAAUCUUGAAAACAGGAAACAAAAAAAUGUGAUAUUUAUUAUUUUUAUAAUUACUAGUGAAAAGAUAUUAACUGAAAAUUUAAAUUAACAUAGUAAACAA